rnacentral:lncRNA from 1 species
UGGAGCCUUGUGUGGAUACUGUGAGGAAAAUUCAGUGCAGGGGUAAAAUGAUAUUUUUAAAAUUUUUUCAAAAUUACGAUUUUACAAGGGAAAGAUAUUAAUUAAUCUAAUUAAUUAACAUGAAUUUACCCUAUACUAAGAUCUAAAUAUGAUAUAUAGCAUGCAUUCAUUUAAAUUUAAAAUUCAAAUUCGAAUAGUAAAUACUUUACUGUAAUGUGUUCAGAACACAAUACUUUUGUGCGGGUAGUAGAUCACCGCAAUUUAAUCACCAUCAGGAGAGUCUGAUCUUCACGAUGCAGCCACACAGUGUGUCUGACCU